GAUGAACGCUGGCGGCGUGCCUAAUACAUGCAAGUCGAGCGGAUAGAGGAGGAGUUCGCUCCGCUUACGUUAGAGGCGGACGGGUGAGGAAUACGUGGAUAACCUGCCUAUAAGACUGGUAUAACUGCGCGAAACCGGAGCCAAUACCGGUUAAUAUAUUGAACCUCAGGGUUCAAUAGUGAAAGACGGUUUUGCUGUGGCUUAGAGGUAGUUCCGCGCUGCAUUAGCAAGGUGGUAAGGUAACGGCUUACCAAAGCAACGAUGCGUAGAUGAUCGGAGAGGCUGAUCGCUCCCCCUGGAACUGUGACACGGUCCACACUCCUCCGGGAGGCAGCAGUCGGGAAUCUUCCGCCAUGGGCGAAAGCCUGAAGGAGCUACGCCGCGUGUGUGAUGAAGGUCUUCGGAUCGUAAAACACUGUUAUUAGGGAGGAACAAAUGUAUAUGUAACUAUGCACGUUUUGACGGUACCUAGACAACAAGCCCCGGCUAACUCCGUG
rnacentral:rRNA from 1 species